rnacentral:rRNA from 1 species
AACAGGAUUAUAUACCCUGGUAGUCCACGCCGUAAACGAUGUCGACUUGGAGGUUGUGCCCUUGAGGCGUGGCUUCCGGAGCUAACGCGUUAAGUCGACCGCCUGGGGAGUACGGCCGCAAGGUUAAAACUCAAAUGAAUUGACGGGGGCCCGCACAAGCGGUGGAGCAUGUGGUUUAAUUCGAUGCAACGCGAAGAACCUUACCUACUCUUGACAUCCAGAGAACUUAGCAGAGAUGCUUUGGUGCCUUCGGGAACUCUGAGACAGGUGCUGCAUGGCUGUCGUCAGCUCGUGUUGUGAAAUGUUGGGUUAAGUCCCGCAACGAGCGCAACCCUUAUCCUUUGUUGCCAGCGGUCCGGCCGGGAACUCAGAGGAGGCUGCCAGUGAUAAACUGGAGGAAGGUGGGGAUGACGUCAAGUCAUCAUGGCCCUUACGAGUAGGGCUACACACGUGCUACAAUGGCAUAUACAAAGAGAAGCGACCUCGCGAGAGCAAGCGGACCUCAUAAAGUAUGUCGUAGUCCGGAUUGGAGUCUGCAACUCGACUCCAUGAAGUCGGAAUCGCUAGUAAUCGUGGAUCAGAAUGCCACGGUGAAUACGUUCCCGGGCCUUGUACACACCGCCCGUCACACCAUGGGAGUGGGUUGCAAAAGAAGUAGGUAGCUUAACCUUCGGGGGGGCGCUUACCACUUUGUGAUUCAUGACUGGGGUGAAGUCGUAACAAGGUAACC